rnacentral:rRNA from 1 species
AUGUCUUCGCAAGAGUCAAUCGGGGAGAGCCGGGUGUCUCAUCCGGCACCUAGAUCAAUGACAAACAACAAUGUUGACCACCUUGGGCCAGCAACGGAGGAAGAGAUGGAGGCUGAUUUGAAGAGAAUAGAUGCCAUCGAGGAGGAUCAAGAAGUCACUUCUCGCUUCCGAGCUAGAUUCACAAUGGGGGAACUGCAGAGCUCGGCUAUUCUAAACUCGGUUAUCCCUUCCAAUGUUAGAUUUCUUUCUUAUGAGAAUAUGAAAAAGAGUGUCACUGGUUCUCCUGCAGCUAUACAGCACCCUUGGGUGUAG